AAAUAAGAAGCAAAUAAAUUGCUUUUAGUUUCGACCUAAAAAUUUUGAUUAAAUUAAUCCUUAUUUU
rnacentral:tRNA from 1 species